UACGUAGGGGGGCAAGCGUUGUCCGGAAUCAUUGGGCGUAAAGCGCGUGUAGGCGGUCCGGUAAGUCGGCUGUGAAAGUCCAGGGCUCAACCCUGGGAUGCCGGUCGAUACUGCCGGACUAGAGUUCGGAAGAGGCGAGUGGAAUUCCCGGUGUAGCGGUGAAAUGCGCAGAUAUCGGGAGGAACACCAAUGGCGAAGGCAGCUCGCUGGGACGUUACUGACGCUGAGACGCGAAAAGCGUGGGGGAGCAAACAGG
rnacentral:rRNA from 1 species